rnacentral:siRNA from 1 species
GAAAACUCGAAAUUAGGGCUUUA